UGCCUUGGCACUAAGAGCCGAUGAAGGACG
rnacentral:rRNA from 1 species